CGGCCGGCGCGGGGACGGCGGUCGGACAGCGAGGCGCCCUCGCGCCAUACGGCCACGUUGGCAUCCGGCGACGAUGGGACGGCCGCUGAGCAGCCGAGGGCCUCUCCGUUCUGGGCCCGGUGGCCGGCCAGGCUCCACCUCCUCCUCCCCUACCUUCUCCUCUACGCGCUUGUGGCAGUGGGGAAAAGCGAACACUUCUGACGAGAAGAGGAGAACGAGAGGGUUAGGAGGACCGAUCUGGCGACCAGGAAGAAGCCCAAUAGCAACCUUCUCCAGGUUUGGUGAUUCCUACCCCGUUAAAAAUCAGAGGUGUGAACCUGAUUCUUGUGGAAAUAUGUAUGGAUAGUGGGAAUGUUCUACUAUCUCUGUUUUGUGCUUGUCAUAUGUUUGAUGGAAUGAACAACCCCCAUGAUUCUGUCAUUCAAGUUGGUUCUCUGAUGCGUUCUGCUCAACUUGCUGGCCUACUCCAUCUCUUCUCGCAACCUAGGAGGCCCUAGGAGGCUGCCCAGCAGAUUAGCAGUCUGCCCUCCUCAGCCUUUUCUUCUUCCCAGACCAGCAAGUUCUCUCUCCCCCUGUGCAGAUCCUUUUCUAUCUAUGGCUUACAAGGUGCUUGAAGAAAAUCCUAGCUAAUAUUACUAUUGACACGAAGUUGCAGCCGGUGGUGGUGUUCCUUGGCAAUGACGAGAGGAAGAGAUGAUGGAUUCUUCAAGAUUAAAUGCGGUUAUGGUGCUACCCUCCUCGGCGUCGCCUGUUUCCCCGGUUGUAACUUGCCGGAGAGGCUGGUGGAUUCAGGACGGUUGCCAUAAGGUGUAGGUUCCAUUAUUGAAGUGUGUUCUGGUGAUUGUGAAGUGUGUCUACACUGAAAUAUUAUGGUUGAGUACAGGGAGGCACACUGAAGGGAAGCAGACCGAGCGUCAUUUUAUAUUCAUCCUUGCAAAAAAGCGAAGUAUGACACGGAAGUGCUCGACGUCAUGUGCGCUCGCCGAGUAUCCAUCGACACAACGGGAGGGAUCGGUGUCGCAGUUUAUAUUUUAGAGCUUCUUUCUGCACUGAAAUUUGUUGCAGAAAAUUUGUAGCUCAGGGCAAGCAGGAGAUGAUGCGAGUGAAGGCAGUCCCAUGUUUCUGAUGACGGCGGAUCUGGUGGUAAACAUGGUUGUGGCUGUUUGUCCUUGCCUUGUCUUCGGCUGCCUUCUUGAUAUUCUCGAAGAGGAAGAAUGGCAUGGUGCGAGACAUCAUAGUCCAUAGGAGAUCGAGAGAAGUUGGAAAAUAAGUUCCUGCAGGCUCCAUCCAAGACACCACACCACAAACAGACUAAAACAUCAAGUCUUGCUGAGGUAUUACCGAUUCUCCCAUUUUCUGUUAUAAGUUCUCUUGCUGGAUGUAUUUGUUGUCACUGGUUGACGUCCUGGGGUAUGGAAUAGCUAUUUGAUAUCCUGGGAUUCUCAUUUUCUAUAUUGAUUUUUUUUGUCAUUCCUAGGGUUAGCAAAAUAGACACUCUGCCAUAUCAAAUAUCUUCAUUUCUAUGUUUAAAAAGCUAGCUUGCUCCCUCUUUGAUAAAAUAAUAUAGUGUAUCUUAGUUUUACUGAAAGUCGUGCUACUUAAAAACUCAAAAAAAAGUCGUGCUACUUAGUACUUAGUUAUAGUCUGUAAGAUACAUUCAUUCAUCUAUUAAAAUAGCUGUCUUUUCAGAAGUUCAAUGAUACGAACCUAGCACAAAAUACUCCAUCGAUGGUUGUUUCCACAAAGAUUUGGCAGCUAAUUAAUAAUAACCAGAGUAAAAUCAAGUACUCAAUUUUAGGAUAAAUUAGCUGAUUUAGAAUCUACUUUACAACAACCCGAGACAGCUCUUUUUUACAUGGUGCUGGUUAACAGUGUCUCACAACGUAGAAGUUUCAAACAGGUUUUAUCUAAACAAAUACUGAGAUUUAUGGCAUAAUCCAUUUAUGGAGUAUUUUUGCAAUUGGUACCUGCGAGUAGUUCAUCACUUAGGUCUCCUUAAUUACUGAUGGUUGUGUUUUCAGUCACAUUUUCUGGAUCCUUAGCUUAUAUGUGGCAUCAGAGCUGCGCCGUAAUUGUUGUUUGUGAUUUAAAUCAUCCCAAGGUGAGAGGCUGCUUUUGGUGAGGUAAUUUUGAUUUUUUAUGAUUUAGCUGUGUCGGUGUCCUUCCUUCCACCGGUACUCUUCACUACCACCCAUUUCCACCAAUUUGGAUGAGUAAGUGUCGGUGUUUUCUUUCCCAUUGUGCAUCAUUUUUGGUUCGCAAUUGUUCAGUUUUAUUCGCCAUAAAGCUUAAGAAAUAAAGCUUGAGAUAAGUAUUUCUACAUAAUUUCUUAGUUAUUGGCUGCAAACAGCUUCCCUCCCAAACCAAAACAGAAGCAGUGUCUCUCUUAGGCUUGUAUGUAAAAUCAUUCUAAUUAUUUGUAGUUCUCCAUUAAGUAUUUUUUUGCGCUAACAUUGUCUCGCAGCGUUUAAGUUUCUGCCACGUCGAAUAUUUGGAUGUGCAAGUAGCUACUAGGAUCAUGAAAGUUAUAGCAUAGUUCCAUUCUGAAGCCUGUUCUUGCUGGUCAGACUAAUGUUGGUACUUGAGUGCAUCAUGUUGGUGAUUGCUCUUGUGGAGUGCAACUAUAAUGUAUGAUUGGUUGAUUCUCAUUUCCGGUUUUAUGUAUCAUUAUGCUCUGAAGGUUACUAUUGUAGGCAUCAAUUGGGCUAUUACGAUAUUCCUAGAAUUUAUUAGGACACAUACCAGAAGAGUGUGCAUAGUUCCAGUUCCAGUUGUUCAUUAGGUGCUGAAAUCUUAAAUCGAUUUGCUAUGAUGGUAUAUCAGAAAAUAGCUUUCAGCCGUCACACAUAGAUACUAGAAUUGAACUGUACCUGGCUGCCUUUUUUUCUUGGUUGUAGUACACAAUAAUUUAGCAGUUUACGUCCGUGAAGAAUAUAUUCAUUUGUGAUUGAAGCUUAUUGUUUUCGUAUUUCAAAGACCAGAAUAAGGAUCUUAAUAAUGUACUUUCUUACUAUCCACACAUGCGGGUAUAAUAAAAAUUGGAGUUUAUGGCUCAGUUUAGCUGAUGGCCUUGAUGGAGCUUUGCUCAUGGUCUUGCUGAAUUACUGAGUGGCUGCUGAGUGAUGAUUUGUGACUCAUAGGUUUGUCCCUUUGCUGCAAAAAGUAGAAAAGGUAAAUUGCUUGGUAUCAUGUCUUUUGUUUAGUAUGGUUUUAGUUCCAUAAUGAUAAUUGGUUGUGUUCAACUGCAACAUCUUUUCCCCUCACCUGAAAAAUUGAUAGAAGGCACAUUAUUUGGGUGUCUAUGCAAUGCAGCAAUUGAAGCCACUCUUUGCUCAUCUAUGAGAAGCACCGGAAACCAUACAUGGAGGUCAGUUAUCUUGAACGACACUUUUUUUAUAUGCACCAUGACCCAAGUUUUGUCUUUCUGCCUUGGCAUGCCACUACCUUCGUGAUAUCAUCCGAAGAUGUGAGGCCUCAGUCCUUUUUGCGCAUUUUAUUUACAUAUUUUUCAAUGCAUUCUAGAUGGUGAAAUUGUGCAUACUUAUUCCCUCUUCUCGAAAUUAAUAUGAUUUCGCAUGGUACUGCCUUGAUGGAAUCAUCUCAAGAUGAGAGGUCUUGGUCGUUAUCAUGCAUUGCUUCAUAUAUUUUAUCAAUUCUUCUAGGUAGUGACAAUGGUGGACAUUUGAUCGGUGACAAUGGUGGACAUCUGAUCCACAUGUUGGGAAAUUGAUUCUGGUUGUUCAUAAUAUUCAUGAUGCCUGAACUCUCUAUUGUUACCCCCUCCUAUUAAAAUACUACUCAUUUCUGGAUUUGCAGUCACAUAUUGCUUUUGUUAAAUAAUCUGCGUGUUAGGAAAUUGAUUCUGGGAAAUGGCUCGUAUCAAGAUCCCACCAAGAGUGUCAUGCCCGACGCCAUGUUAUAUGAGCUGCAACUUCCUAGAUUGACAUACAAAACUACUGCGAGAUGGCAGCAUGAACUGUGACUGACAUUCCAUCCAUCAGUGCACAUUCUUCAUCAGAAUCUCGGCCAAAAGUCUCUGGGCUUGCAUACAUCGCCUCUGAAAGUAUCCCAAAACCUGCUAAACUGUCUUAUUUUUUCAGUCACUUGCUGUAGGAAACAUUAAAUAGAGCUCUACCUCUACUGUUUAUAACCUUAUGUGCAUAAGUACAUUUCCUACAGCUUGAACUUUGACUCCACUGAACAUGAUCAGUUCUCCUGAAAGGAGUGCACUUGUGAUGAGCUGUACACCGAAGAUGAUCAAUUCUCUGGAAGGAGUGUUGUGAUGAGCUAUAUUUGUUUUGCUCUA